CGCGUGUGCAUGCGUUGUGUGUAUGCGUGCAAUGCAGGGAAUAUCCCUUGUUGUGAAAAUAAAAACCACUUCAGAUCCAGCUGUCAGAAACCCGGAAUACCUCCCGCGCCUCACGCCGCGGAUACCUAACGUGCUCUUACCGCCCACGUCCCCCAGCGUCCCUUCCUCCUGCCUUUAUUCCGUGAGAGAGACGGCGGGGGGAGAGGGGUCAGGGCAGGCAGGUGGAGAAAGGUGACGGUCUCAACUCGCGAAAUAUAAUGAUAAUUCUUGCGGUGUGGAGGAUAACGCCGUGGUCACACUAGGACCAGUCAGUCCGGCAAAGCAGUUUCACUCUGCCAGUGAAACCGCGCUCAGUGUCAACAGCUUUCCCGCUCCGGACGGUGGAUGCGGGCGGAAUCCAGGUUGCUGGAGGCGAUGCUCUGUUUGUAUGUGUCUCUUUACGCUUUCAGAUACGGGACCUUACCUAGCUAAAUUUCUAUAGAGAGAUCAGAUUAUGCAUCCCUCCGGAUUAUCCUUCUAAAUUAACUUUUAGAUUUGUUUUUAUAGUCCGCUGAGACCCUGAGAAAGAGGCUGUAGCUAGAUACAGAUACGAGACAAACGUAUAAAGCAAGCUCAUUACACGGGAAUAAGUGAAGAUCUCUCCUUGCAAUCUACUCUAGAUAACGAGUCUGCCCGAAGAAACAAGUGAAGCCGAGAUAUUUACUUCUUUUCCUAAUAAAUAAACCUCAAUAACUGCA